AAUAUUGGUCACUAAACAUGUCGUCUUCUUUUAUCCAUUUUCGUGACAAGCUAACCAUUUAUCUAUUCUCUCUUUUCAUAUAAUCAUAUCCACUGUUCUGUUUUUCAUUUCAAAUUUUAAAUUUUGCAAAGAUGAUUUAUAAUGUUCAUCACUCAACAUAGUCAUUACCAAUUAUUUUGAUUUGUCACUCAUACGAGAACUCUCGCGACUAGAUCGCAAGCAAGUUCUUGAUAAUAGUGAAGUAGUCCAUGGCGAAGUUGAUGUUAUCAAACUUGGCUUCCAUGAUCGAAUGCCUCUCAUGCAGAGCAUAUUAAAGGUUGUUGAAGAAGACAAUGAGAAGUUCUUGCGCAGGCUUAGAGAUAGAGUGGAUAAGUGUUCUGUUUAUCUCUCUAUUUAUCAUCGAAACCAAAGUUUUUUUUAUUGUUAAUAAGUUUAUGAAUUUUGCUAUGAUUACUUUUUGGGUGGGGAUUAAAAUUUCUAGACUUGAAGUCCAUUAUGAGAACUUCUCUGUGGAGGGAUAUUUGUAUGUUGGGAGCAGAACAUUUCAUACUUUGCUUAAUGCCACUCUCAACACUUUUGAGAGCGUCCUGGGAUUAUUUCUCCUUGCACUCUUCAAGAAGAGAGAAUUUCAGAUUCUUAAAGAUGAUAGUAGAAUAUUAAAAUCAUUGAGGAUGAUCUUCUUAUUGGGUCUUUCGGGUGCUGAAAAAACUACAUUGCUUCUAGCACUUGCGGUGAUUUAAGAGUUUGUUUCUAUUUCAUUAGGCUUUUUUUUUUGUUUGUUUUUUUCUUCUUUAUAAUUAGUUACUAUCUCCAUUUCCAAAAAAAAAUGUCCAUCUGAGUGGUCUAAAGCUAUUUAUUUGUUUCAAAAUAUCUAUUAAUAUAUAAUAGUUAACUAACCAAACAGUAAAUUCACACACUAUUUAACACUGUUAGAUGAUUUCUGAGAGAGUGACAAUUGUCCUAUGUAGUUUUGUUUUUUUUUUCUCUUCAUGAUAGGAUGUUGAAACUAGCGUGACUGUACAAUGGAGCCUAAAAAGAUGGAUGAAAUAUUGUUUUGCACAGAAGUUUUUCAGAGAAAAUACAGAAGCAAAAAGGAAGACUGGAAAAGGUGUGAGUUGAAGAAGAGGGCAAAGGGAAAGGUCUGCGAGUUUGACGGUGUUGUAGUUGGUUGGUAUGCAUGUUGAGGUUGGUGAAUGAAUCUUUCUGUGGGAGAGGAGGUUGAGACCCUGCAGCAGCAGCAGCGGCGGAUUUUGCCUUAGGAGUCGUGUUUAACCGAAGCUCGACGCUGUGUUUGCUUUUUAUUUUACCUGCUUAGUGUUUCGGUGGAAUAGCUGCUGCGUUUUCAAACUUUGGUUUGGGGUUGUGGAUCUCUUGGUAAUGUGAAGGCUGAUGAGGUUUUCGAAGACACUGUUGCUGUUGUUGCUUGAGCUUUGAGAAGUUCUUCAUCGCUCAAGGUCUCUAAAGAUGAUAUGAUGAGGAGGCAAUAUUCUUUGACGAAUCUAUUAGAAAUGCAAAACAAAAGUAAUUGGAGUCCAAGACAUUGGAUGUAAGUCUUUUUGCUACCUUUUAAUUGCUUUAUUGAUUUAUUUUUAUUCAUUUAGAUUAAAUUUGAAUACUAGCAACAAGUGUUGUUUGAAUGAUUCUGUAAUCCAGUAUUCUAAAAUUUUAAGUUAAGCAAAUGAAUUCAAUCAUAUAAAAGAAAUAAUGCAGCAAUAUUCUUUAAUCUAAAAAAGUGUUAUUAUGCUUGCUCUUUUGUUACUACUUUUUAUCCAAGUGUUGGGUACCGAGUAGCAUCUUUAAAUAUGUAAGUAGUCAAGGAACUUCCUCAAAUCUAAUAUAGUUAUAUGAAUUUUUUUAGAUAAUAUUUAUAUUUUAUUGGAUGGUUAGGAGAAAAUAUGUGAGUGUUAGUUACAACUUUUCAUGUGAUUUAAUGAUGUAAAAGUUUCUUUUUUCUGCAUUUAUUUAUGUAUAUUUUGUUUCAACUUGAGUUUUUCUUUCUUGGAAAAAAUAAAAGAAUGUGAAUGACUUGGGUAUGUGAUGCAAUGGUAUGUGUUGUCAACAUUCACCGGGUGGUUCGUUCCACAAAUAAGGAGGAUGAUUCAGAUUGAAAAAUAGGAGAAGCUAAUAUUAAGGAGCUUGGAGUGACUGAUGGAUUGGAGUAGGGGCAGGUUGUUACUAUUGAUUUAGGUGUCGGAAGAGAUCAGAGAUGAAAAAAAUAAGUGGAUACAUAGAAUAUGUUGACGAGGUUAAGUCCUUUUUAGACUUUUUUUUAACCUUAAAUGCAAACCUAAAAAUAAAAUAACAACUUUUUGCAUUAGGAUCUGAAAAAAGCAUUUUUUUUUAAAUAAAAAAAUUUCUGCAACAAAAAGACUGUUAAGUUGAGGAAGAUAUGGUAACUUUUCAACAAGGAAUAUUUAAAAGAAAAGGUUGCUAUGUCUAUCUUUAAUUACUUAAUACUUUAAUAGUAACAAUAUUUUUUGGUAUGUUAUAUUAAUAUUAAGUAAUAUGUCUUGAGGUAGCACUUUAAUGGCUUUAGAAGUUAGAUGAUGUAUUUAGUUUUAAGUUCUCUUUGAAUAGUUUUUAGUUUUGCUAAUAAUAUUUUGAUGACUUUUGCAGAACUGUUGCAUGUAUUUCAUGAGCAUCUUGGAUAUGUAAUUAAUUGUAGGACUUCCUCAGAUUUCAUCUAAUUAUAUAAUAGCAAAAUAAUAAAAACCAAGAGUAAAACAAAAUCAACUUGUCUUCAUUGACAUUUCAUGAAUUUGAAAAGCACCAAGAAUGCAAGUAAAAGAUGGGAGAUCAGUGGAAAAAAAAAAAAAGAAAAUUGCUACAAAAACAAACUAAAGGUAACCU